rnacentral:rRNA from 1 species
AGUGAACGCUGGCGGUAGGCCUAACACAUGCAAGUCGAACGGCAGCACAGUAAGAGCUUGCUCUUACGGGUGGCGAGUGGCGGACGGGUGAGGAAUACAUCGGAAUCUACUUUUUCGUGGGGGAUAACGUAGGGAAACUUACGCUAAUACCGCAUACGACCUACGGGUGAAAGCAGGGGAUCUUCGGACCUUGCGCGAUUGAAUGAGCCGAUGUCGGAUUAGCUAGUUGGCGGGGUAAAGGCCCACCAAGGCGACGAUCCGUAGCUGGUCUGAGAGGAUGAUCAGCCACACUGGAACUGAGACACGGUCCAGACUCCUACGGGAGGCAGCAGUGGGGAAUAUUGGACAAUGGGCGUAAGCCUGAUCCAGCCAUACCGCGUGGGUGAAGAAGGCCUUCGGGUUGUAAAGCCCUGUUGUUGGGAAAGAAAAGCAGCAGGUUAAUACCCCGCUGUUCUGACGGUACCCAAAGAAUAAGCACCGGCUAACUUCGUG